UCCAAAAACUGCAAGAACACAAGGCUGUAAAAGCGGGUUAAGGCAAGGCAAGAGGGGUGUGGCAGAAGUGAGAAUGUGCCAUGUGAGCUUACUGUUUUCAACAUUUUUUUUUUUUAUAUUUAUAUUUAUGUGUAUAUUUACAUUUGUGUUUAUGUUAAUAUUGAUAUGAAAUGAAAGGGUUUUUUUUUUUUUCUUCUUCUUCUUUAUUUGAAGUCGGUGCCCUACACAAACAGCGUAUUCUGCGUAAAGGGAGCGGCAGUACUGGUUAGAGCCUACUCUGAAGUAGGGUCCCAAAAGGCAUUCCUAUAACUAAAAUUGUUCCCAGUUCCUG
ensembl:lncRNA